rnacentral:rRNA from 1 species
CAGUAGCCGCGGUAAUACGGAGGGGGCUAGCGUUGUUCGGAAUUACUGGGCGUAAAGCGUACGUAGGCGGUUUUGUAAGUUAGAGGUGAAAGCCCGGAGCUCAACUCCGGAAUUGCCUUUAAGACUGCAUCACUUGAACGUCGGAGAGGUGAGUGGAAUUCCGAGUGUAGAGGUGAAAUUCGUAGAUAUUCGGAAGAACACCAGUGGCGAAGGCGGCUCACUGGACGACUGUUGACGCUGAGGUACGAAAGCGUGGGGAGCAAACAGGAUUAGAUACCCCGGUAGUCCCUGUCUCUUAUAA